GAUGAACGCUGGCGGCGUGCCUAAUACAUGCAAGUCGAGCGAACAGACGAGGAGCUUGCUCCUCUGACGUUAGCGGCGGACGGGUGAGUAACACGUGGAUAACCUACCUAUAAGACUGGGAUAACUUCGGGAAACCGGAGCUAAUACCGGAUAAUAUAUUGAACCGCAUGGUUCAAUAGUGAAAGACGGUUUUGCUGUCACUUAUAGAUGGAUCCGCGCCGCAUUAGCUAGUUGGUAAGGUAACGGCUUACCAAGGCGACGAUGCGUAGCCGACCUGAGAGGGUGAGCGGCCACACUGGAACGGAGACACGGUCCAGACCCCUACGGGAGGCAGCAAGAGGGAAUCUUCCGCAAGGGGCGAAAGCCUGACGGAGCAACGCCGCGUGAGGGAUGAAGGUCUUCGGAUCGUAAAACUCUGUUAUUAGGGAAGAACAAAUGUGUAAGUAACUAUGCACGUCUUGACGGUACCUAAUCAGAAAGCCACGGCUAACUACGUG
rnacentral:rRNA from 1 species